rnacentral:rRNA from 1 species
GACGAACGUUGGCGGCGUGCUUAACACAUGCAAGUCGAACGGAAAGGCCCUGCUUUUGUGGGGUGCUCGAGUGGCGAACGGGUGAGUAACACGUGAGUAACCUGCCCUUGACUUUGGGAUAACUUCAGGAAACUGGGGCUAAUACCGGAUAGGAGCUCCUGCUGCAUGGUGGGGGUUGGAAAGUUUCGGCGGUUGGGGAUGGACUCGCGGCUUAUCAGCUUGUUGGUGGGGUAGUGGCUUACCAAGGCUUUGACGGGUAGCCGGCCUGAGAGGGUGACCGGCCACAUUGGGACUGAGAUACGGCCCAGACUCCUACGGGGGGCAGCAGUGGGGAAUAUUGCACAAUGGGCGGAAGCCUGAUGCAGCAACGCCGCGUGCGGGAUGACGGCCUUCGGGUUGUAAACCGCUUUCGCCUGUGACGAAGCGUGAGUGACGGUAAUGGGUAAAGAAGCACCGGCUAACUACGUGCCAGCAGCCGCGGUGAUACGUAGGGUGCGAGCGUUGUCCGGAUUUAUUGGGCGUAAAGGGCUCGUAGGUGGUUGAUCGCGUCGGAAGUGUAAUCUUGGGGCUUAACCCUGAGCGUGCUUUCGAUACGGGUUGACUUGAGGAAGGUAGGGGAGAAUGGAAUUCCUGGUGGAGCGGUGGAAUGCGCAGAUAUCAGGAGGGACACCAGUGGCGAAGGCGGUUCUCUGGGCCUUUCCUGACGCUGAGGAGCGAAAGCGUGGGGAGCGAACAGGCUUAGAUACCCUGGUAGUCCACGCUGUAAACGGUGGGUACUAGGUGUGGGGUCCAUUCCACGGGUUCCGUGCCGUAGCUAACGCUUUAAGUACCCCGCCUGGGGAGUACGGCCGCAAGGCUAAAACUCAAAGGAAUUGACGGGGCCCCGCACAAGCGGCGGAGCAUGCGGAUUAAUUCGAUGCAACGCGUAGAACCUUACCUGGGUUUGACAUGGAUCGGGAGUGCUCAGAGAUGGGUGUGCCUCUUUUGGGGUCGGUUCACAGGUGGUGCAUGCCUGUCGUCAGCUCGUGUCGUGAGAUGUUGGGUUAAGUCCCGCAACGAGCGCAACCCUUGUUCACUGUUGCCAGCACGUUAUGGUGGGGACUCAGUGGAGACCGCCGGGGUCAACUCGGAGGAAGGUGGGGAUGACGUCAAGUCAUCAUGCCCCUUAUGUCCAGGGCUUCACGCAUGCUACAAUGGCUGGUACAGAGAGUGGCGAGCCUGUGAGGGUGAGCGAAUCUCGGAAAGCCGGUCUCAGUUCGGAUUGGGGUCUGCAACUCGACCUCAUGAAGUCGGAGUCGCUAGUAAUCGCAGAUCAGCAACGCUGCGGUGAAUACGUUCCCGGGGCU